AGUAACUCACCCUGCUCACUGUACAACACAUCGUGGGCACAAAGCGUCUUCCAGGGAAUACGCAGCACUCAGAAAGGUUCAUUCUUCAGCCUGAACAAAGUGAGGAAGAAAGAUGCCUUGCAACAUCAGCAAACAGGUGUCUCUCCCUGUCCCUCCUGAGCUGGAAGACUCCCAGUGGUCCCCACAGCACAGCCACGAAAUGGUGGCAGCCCUGCUAGGCAGCCACGUGCCUUCUUGUCUUCUGGAAGCUGGAAUACAUACACACCUUUCUAAUUACACACUUCUAUUUACACUUACUUUCCUGUAUUUGUCAUUGAGAUCUUAUCAAAAUGCCAACAAAGUUUUCCUCCCUUCCGUGGCUUGCAGCACACACCAGACAGAGUUGGCCAGCUGCCCACUAGCAUUGGUUUGCCUGUCAAGCAGCAAUAUUGUCCUCACACAGAGGUUAAUCUAGGGGAACCAACCAAUGUAACAUCCCGCAGCUCAGCACGGACCACUCCUCUUGACAGACUGUGAGCAGAGCCUGGGACAAAGCAGGGCACCCUGACUCCUGGGGAUGGCAGAAACCCAGCACUGCUUUGUGUCCCACCCACUGCCAUGGUGGUUGAAUACCAACUGCUUACUGCCACCUUCAUACCUGGGACACCUCUGCCAGCUGUUGAUUAAUGCAUUUUCAUGGUAAAGGGAUGCUGUCAGAACAACACGGGACUCCAGGUCAGAUGAUCUCAGCCCCUCAGAGGAAGUGUAGGGGAAUGAGUCAUCCUGCAUGGAGAAGCCCAGGUUCUCCGAAAGAAAAUAUUCCUCUUACAAGGAGAGAAAACACCUCUCACACCUGCCCCUUCCAGCUUUUGUACUGCCUAGAACACACUGUUGUUGCUUUCCUGCAGAAAGGAGCAUUCUGUCCCAUAUGAUUUGGAAAUAUCAUUUGCCUUCCUCCCUACAGAUGGCAAAUUCUUUGGUUUCUGCCACCGCUAAACAUACAAAUAAAUCAUCAAGAUAUGAUCUGCUAACACAU
rnacentral:lncRNA from 7 species